AUGGCGUCUCCAGCCGGAAACCCUAAUCCGAACCCCGGCAACCCCAAUCCCCCCUUCGAGAUGGCCAUGCUCUUCAGGCCGCCUCCCAACCCCGCGCCGACCGCCGCGCCCAUGUUCCCCGGCGCCGCCGGCCCGCCGCCGCACUCCGGCCCCUACUCCUACCCCCCGGCCACCCCUCCCUUCCACCUCCGCCCCUACCUCCACUACCCGCAGGAUCCCCAGCCCCCCAUGCCCCGCCCGGUCAUCCCCUUCCCCAUGCCCAACCCGAACGCGAACCCCAACCCGGGCGCUAACCCCAUGGCCGCCGCGGGCCCCAACCCCGGCGCCCGCCUCAUGCAGCUGCUCGGCAGCUCCGGCUCGGGCCACCUCGAGUCCGCGGUAUCCAUGCCCCCGCCGUCGUCGGAGUUCGCCGCCGCGCAGCCGUCGCCGCUCCCGGCGAUGCCAUCCGCGCCGCCGGCGAGGAUGCUCAGCAGCACCAGCAGCAAGGUGCCCAGAGGUCGGCUUCUGGGUGGCGGGGACAAGGCGGUGCACAACGUUGACUCGAGGCUGCCUGGGGAGGCGCAGCCGCCACAGCUGGAGGUGACGCCGAUCACCAAGUACACGUCAGACCCAGGUCUUGUGCUGGGCAGGCAGAUCGCUGUGAACCGGACGUACAUCGUCUAUGGGCUCAAGCUGGGGAACAUCCGUGUGCUAAACAUCAACACCGCGCUUCGGUCACUGCUCCGUGGCCAUACACAGAGGGUCACGGACAUGGCUUUCUUCGCUGAGGACGUCCAUCGUUUAGCAAGCGCAAGUGUUGAUGGACGGAUAUACGUGUGGAGGAUUGAUGAGGGGCCCGAUGCAGAAAAUAAACCACAAAUUACAGGAAAGAUAGAAGUUGCCAUACAAAUUGUAGGUGAUGCCGAAGCUUACCAUCCAAGGAUAUGUUGGCACUCUCAUAAGCAAGAACUUCUGUUUGUUGGAAUCAGAAACUGUGUCUUAAGAAUAGACACAACUAAAGUGGGAAGGGGAAGAGACUUUAAUGCUGAAGAACCUAUCAAAUGUCAUCUUGACGAGCUUAUUGAUGGUGUACGCUUGGUUGGUAGGCAUGACGGUGAUGUGACAGAUUUGUCCAUAUCUCAGUGGAUGACUACCCGACUGGCUUCAGGAUCAAAUGAUGGCACGGUAAAGAUUUGGGACGAUCGCAAGUUAGCGCCUCUAUCGAUUCUAAAGCCACAUGAUGGUCAAGCUGUUUACUCAGUUGCCUUUCUUACAGCACCUGAGCGCCCGCAUCAUAUAAAUCUCAUCACUGCUGGUCCUCUAAACCGAGAAAUUAAAAUUUGGGCUUCUACUAAUGAAGAAGGUUGGUUGUUGCCAAGCGACUCUGAGACUUGGAAUUGCACGCAGACCCUGGAACUUGUUAGUUCUCUGGAACCUAAAGUCGAGGAGGCAUUUUUCAAUCAAGUUGCAGUGCUGCCUCAAGCAAGCAUUAUCUUACUUGCGAAUGCGAAGAAGAAUGCUAUUUACGCUGUGCAUGUUGAGUAUGGCUCAGACCCCGCUUCUACCCGCUUGGAUUAUAUCGCAGAUUUUACAGUCGCGAUGCCUAUUUUAAGUCUUACUGGUACACAUGAAAGCCAACCUGAUGGUGAGCAGGUAGUUCAAGUCUAUUGUGUCCAAACAAUGGCCAUCCAGCAGUAUGGGCUGGAGUUAUCACUUUGUUCGCCUCCUACAUCUGAUACUAACUCAUUUGGAAGAGACCCUGCUAUUUCACGUGUUUAUGAUACACCUCUGGAAGUGGUAGGAGCAGAGUCAUCCACGGGAACUAGCGUUACAGAUUCUUACACCGUCGGUACUUCGAGUAAACAAUCAACUUUUGAUCAGACUGCAGAGUUUGAUCUUAAGCCAUCAGCUCCACCACUUACAUACACAGAAGGUGAUGGUUCUGUGCAUCUUCAGUCUGCCCCUCUUGCAUCAAACACUGAUCUUACUGGAUCAGGACCAGUAGGCAACCGUGACAAAGACCAAUCAGCUUUUGAUUAUUCGACAAGCCGAAUCACUGAGCCAGUUGCCUUGACUAGGCAAGACACACCCAUGCCAAAACCAGUUGCCCUCGCUAGGCAAGAUACACCCAUGCCAAAACCAGUUGCCCUUGCUAGGCAAGAUACACCCAUGCCAAAGGACAAUUUUGGAAAGGAUGAAUUAAGAGACAGCAACAGUGAUGUUCAGAUGCUCCCAAAUCCUCGCAUGAUGUUUAAGGAUGACUCUAUUAGUAGCCCUCGGAUUGCAGAAGUGGAAGCAAAACAUGUCAAUGAGGGUAAAUCUAAUCAUGAUUUGGAACUUGAAGCUGUCAAGGAAGCUCAAGUUGUCCGUGAGAACUCAGAGAAAGAUCAAAAUUCGUUGGAGCAAACUGUUGAAAUGAUCAGUGAGCGUUCAGUAACAACUGAUAAGUAUAGCGUGGAAGAAUCACGGUCACCGUCUGAUAGACUGGUCCCUGACCAUACUGGUGCUGCUGGAGAAAAUGUUUCAAACAAAACCAUAGAAAAACCUGGCAUAAGUGACUCCUCUGUGUCUAGGGAGCAAUCAUCUUCAUAUACAAAGGACAAGGUUUUUCAUCCUCAAGCAUCUGGUCAGUCAUCACCUUCUACAAGCGCAUUUAACUCAACUGAGUCUUCACAUGAACCUGUCAGCAGUGCAUACCCUCCUAUUGAAUCCUCUUCAGAAGUUGCCGAUAUGCUGCAACAGCUAAUAGCCAUGCAGAAGGAUAUGCAGAAGCAGCUAGGUACUAUCGUUAUUGCUCCCAUUGCGAAGGAAGGCAAAAGAAUUGAAACAUCACUAGGCCGUACAAUGGAGAAAUCUAUCAAGGCUAGCAUUGAUGCCUUGUGGGCUCGUUUCCUGGAGGAGAACACAAAACGUGAGAAGGCUGAAAGGGAACGAAUGCAGCAAAUGACCACUCUCAUCACAAGCUCAAUAAACAAGGACCUUCCUGCUAUGUUGGAUAAGUUAGUAAAGAAAGAAGUUCCUUCACUUGGACCUGUUGUUGCACGGGCAAUGACACCUAUUAUUGAGAAGUCCUUAACCUCUAUAGUUGCUGAUGCAGUUCAGAAAGCGGUGGGUGACAAGGUGGUGAAUCAGCUGGACAAAUCUGUUACUGCAAAACUUGAAGCUACACUUGCUAGGCAAAUCCAAAUGCAAUUUCAUACAUCUGUAAAACAGACUCUUCAGGAUGUUUUACGCACUAGCUUUGAAUCAUUGCUUGUUCCAGCAUUUGAACAAUCAUGCAAGACAAUGUUUGAGCAAGUAGACAGUGCAUUCCAGAAAGGAAUGUCUGAGCAUGCUGUUGCUAUUCAGCAGCAGGUUGAGGCAGCACAUACUCCAUUGGUGCUUACUUUAAAGGAAACUAUCACUUCUGCGUCCUCAAUCACCCAGAAUCUCACAUCAGAGUUACUUGAUGGGCAUCGCAAAAUUUUGGCGCUGGUUACAUCAGGCAACGCCAAUGCGCAAAAUACAAAUGUUCUGCAGCCCAACAAUGGUCCUAUCACUGGCCCGCCAGAGGUUGAGGCACCAUUAGACCCGAUGAAGGAGCUGUCAAGACUGCUAUCUGAACACAAAUUUGACGAGGCUUUUACAGUAGCACUUCAAAGAAGUGACGUGUCAAUUGUGUCUUGGUUAUGCUCUCAGGUUGAUUUGCGUGGAUUAUGUACAAUGGCCCCAGUCCCUCUGAACCAGGGAGUCCUUCUAGCCCUACUCCAGCAGCUAGCAGUUGAUAUUGGCACCGAGACAUCCCGGAAAAUUCAGUGGAUGACAGAUGUUGCCAUGGCGAUCAAUCCGACAGACCAAGUCAUCGCCAUACAUGUAAGGCCCAUCUUCGAGCAAGUCUACGCCAAGUUGGCUCACCACCGGUCGCUCCCCACCACCAGUCCAUUGGAUAAUAGCAAUCUUCGCUUGCUUAUGCAUGUCAUCAACUCAGUUCUGCUUAGCUACAAGUGA
rnacentral:rRNA from 1 species